GUCCCCGACGCGAAAAAAAUAGGGCGCUCGAUCCCCUCCCUCCCGCACUCGACACCUCUAUUCUGUCGCUCCGCCUAGGGUUCCUCCUGUUAACCGCCGCCGCCGCCGCCGGUCCUCAGGUCCUCUGCUCCUCGACGAGCCCAUCUCCGGCGACAUGACCAGCGGGUAGGCCUGCAUUUUCCACCCCCGCUCCCACGGGCGCGACCCCUCCCUCGGCCGCAUCCCCUCCGUCCCCGUUGUCCAGCAGCAGCUCCUGGCCCGAUCCGGCCAGGGCUCCACUCCGGCGGACGGCGCCCCACUCCGGCGGACGGCGCCCCACUCCGGCGGACGCGACCCCUUUCCCCCUCCCCUCCUACUGGCCGUGAGCCACCAAGGAUAGCUCAAAAGAGCUGGCCCAAGUCCCGAGCACACGAUGCGCAAUCCGCCGCCGCCGCCGCCGCCGCCGCAGCCCAACAUGGGAAAUGUGCCGUUGCCUUUGCAGCCGCCGCCCGCCAGGGCAAUCGAGCAGCUGCCUUCUUGGCAGCAUCAGCAGCAGCAGCAUCCGCUGCGCCCUUGGCAGUGUCCGCAGCAAGGCGGCGGGCAUCCGCAGCCGCCUAUGCAGUGGCCGCCGCAGCAGCCGCCGCCCGCCAGGGGAUACUCGCCUUCGCCUUCGCAUUCGCAACCGCUGCUGCCCAAUGUAUCCCAGAACCUCCACUUACGGUCUGUGCCUCAGCAGCAGGGCGACGAAGGCAGCGCGAGCAGGCCACAUUCGGAUCCGUGCAGCGCCUCAAAUCUCGACCGGGGAAAACAGCCCCUACUUGAUGAUAAAACCAAGGAUCAGAUGUGGCGCGAAGUGAAUCCUCGUCUGUCUCUACCACUGUUCUUGGCUCAGAAUGCUGGGAGUAUUCAAUUGCCGAGACUUUUAACUCGUGCAGGAGCUGCCAAGGGCAGUAUUCCAGAAGGAACAAUGAUAUAUCCCUUCUCUGGACCAGGAAGAUCAGUUUUUCGGGACUUGGUCUGGAAAGUCACUGAAAAACUGCUGAAAGAUCCCCAGUGGGAUGGGCAGUGGUCCUUUGAUGAUGUUGAGGUGGCGGAUGAAAGAUGUCAGCUUCUGGUUAGGGGGAUCAGAGAUGCUAGUUCUUCGAUAUCGAGUAGAGACACAGCAGCUCUGCGAAAUCUGCGACGAGAGUUUGUUUCUUACUUUGACACCCCACCAAGAAAGUCCCCUCCUUUCUUUCCUACCUUCCUUCAGUUGCUGGACAAUAUCCCAGCUAACUAUGAUGAUGAUGAGGAGGCAAGGUCAGAGUACUUGAUAAAAAUCCGCAGUCAUGCCAUGUUUGCAUCACUUCCCAAGUUAUUUACGCUUUUAUCAAGUUUUGCUGAAGCUUGCCGGACAAGCCCUGGAAAAAUAAUGAAUAGGGAAUUCCUGACUCUUCUAAGGGUUGAAACCCAUUUAUAUAGCCAGAGUACUAGUAUGACUGACUGGAAAAAUAGCCAGUCCCAUAGGUAUGAAACCCAUUUGAGCGAGAAUAGUACUAGGAUGGGUGACCUCCUAGGAAGUCCUCGUGAAAGGGUUUCAUAUCUAAGGGUUGUGAUAGGCUUGGCGAGCCAACGUAAAAACUAGCCAGUCUUUUGGGUAUAAAACCCAUUUGGGCGAGAGUAGUACUAGGAUGGGUGACCUCCUGGGAAGUCCUCGUGAAAGGGUUUCAUAUCUAGCCUACCCCAACUUGUUUGGGAUAAAAGGCUUCGUAAGUAAGUAAGUAAGUAAGGGAAUUCCUGACUCUUGUGAGACAAAAGAAUCCUAAAAUCCGUGAGUUUGAGCUUGAAGAAAGCUGGACGCGUAAGGUCCAAUCCACUCCUCUUCUCAAAGAAUUCCAUGACAAAGGGGAAGAAGAAAAGAUGCUGAAGAGAAAAGGCCGAAUGGCUGUUGAGGAAAGUCAGCAGGGGCUUGCCAAGAAGGCGAAGACAUGGAGUAAAGACGGAACCAAAGAAAAACAGAGUCUGAAGAGAAAAAGUCAAAUGGCUGAUGAGGGAAGUGGGGUUGACAAGUCGCAGCAGAGCUGGCAUGCUUGGCUGGCGUCUAAAGGACCGGGGAAGCAAUCUGCACGAAUUCUGCAGGGUAGAGGGAGUAGACCUCCAGAAUCUGAGAAAAAGACUAUCACAGAGGAUGAGGAUCAAGAAGGCAGGGAGGGCUGGCUGUCUAAAGGACCGGGGAAGCAGCAGUCUGCACGAAUUCUGCAGGGUAGAGGGAGUAGACCUCCAGAAUCUGAAACAAAGACUAUCACGGAGGAUGAGAAUGAGGAUCAAGAAGGCAGGGAUGGCUGGCUGGUUAUGGACAAUCUUCCUGAUCUACUUUACGAGCUCAGGAACUUCUUUGUGCAUGCCCCUGAGUUACUUGUUGACAUUGAGAAGGUGCUUGAAAUAGAUGACAUGACUGAUAUAGUCUAUUUGAUAGAGUUCUUUUUUCCAUUCGCCUUGCCCAAACUUGUCGACUUAGUGAGGUUCUUCCGUCAUAUCACGCAGUUCAACAAAAUGUUCGAGACCUACGCUGAGAGAUGAUUUCUCCAGAGGGAGAUGAUUUUGCCAGAGGGAGAUGAUUUCUUCAUAGGGACAUGUCAGAUCCGAGGAUCCAAAGACAUUGUCCUUUUGGUGUUGGAGAGGGACAUUGGUGAACCACUUCCUGGUGUUAAGUACUCCUCCGUCCCAAAAUAAGUGUCUCAACCUUAGUACAACUUUGUACUAAAGUUAGUGCAAAGUUGAGACGCUUAUUUUGGGACGGAGGGAGUAUAUAGAGGAUAAAGACUUUUUGACUGCUGAGUUUAGUGCAGAAGAGACAGAAUGUUAUUUCAGAUGAGAACAACAAAGCAUCCGGACCUAAUUGCCCCUGCUCUGCUGGAUUCUACAAAUGUUUUGGUGGCAGAGAAAGUUUGGGAUUAUUAAUAUUUGCUACCCUAUUUCUGAAGAGGAAACAUAAAAUCAUGACUGACAAUUACACGACUGGGAUGUUGACUGCCUCAAUUGGAAGAUAACUUCAGGAGAAGAAUCUCUCUUGUUCUCAGUAGCAUUUGAGCACAAUGGCAUGUUCAUUGGACAAGGAGUGAACAAAUCAUAUAUUGGCAACACUUAUUGUGAAUUUGACUAUUGCCAUGCUGACACUUGGACCUUAGAUAUGUUGAAGUUUUGCUUGGACAAGUUGGAUUACUCCCAUGGUUUUCCUCAUCGGCAAGUGUACUGGUGCUUGCCAGGCAAGGAAAUUGUAGAUGGCCUUGUUUGUGUGGAUACUGAAGAGGUAAUUGCUGCUAUGGUCAAUGCAAGCAAAGAAUGCAAGACACUUUUGUUGAUAGUGGAUGAGGAGAAUAAGAUCAUAACUUUGUAUGAUGAUGUGAUCAUAGAUGGCUCCCCUCUACCAAGGGUAAUUACUCCAAGGAAAUUGCCAAGGUCUGCUGAAGGAGGAGAGGAAGAAGAGAAUUGAGAAGCAAGAGAGGAAGAAGAGCAGGGAGAGGGAGAUCAUGGACAUGAAGCAUAGCAGGGAGAGGGAGAAGAACAAAGAGAGGAUGAAGUUCAGGUAGAGGAAACAGAGCAAGGAGAGGGAGAGGGAGAGGAUGUAGGAGAAGAAACUAACAGUGAUUUUUAUGAGUGAAUAUGAUGUUGAAGUUCUAGAUGAUGAUUUGUUUGUGGAGAAUAUGGAUAUAUAUGUCAAUGAUAAUAAUGGGAAGGAAGGGUACAUUGAAGAAGAAGACCCUUUAGAUGAUGAUGAUCUCAACCUAAACAAAGAUGAAUUGUCAAAGUUGCAGUACACUUUCAAAGCCUACAAUCCAGAAGUGGUUUUGAAUAAUCCAGUUUUCAGGGUUGGUUUGGUUUUGGUUACAUGAAAGAGCUGAGAAUGGCUUUGGAUGCAUACACUGUUAGGAAUAGAGUGAAGAUAUAUAAGCCAAGAAAUAAAUUUGAAAGCCUUAAUGCAGUUUGCUUAAAAGGUUGUCCUUGGCAAUCAAAAGCUUCAAAAGACAAUAGGACUAGUAGCAUUGUGAUAAGGCAGUACAAUGGCACUCACAAAUGUCAGAAAUCAUUUGAUUCCAAGUGUUUCACAGUUAAAAUUCUUGCAUUGAGGAAUUCAGAGACAACCAGAAGAUGGAUUUGGGUACAUUUGGUAGCAAAGUUCAAAGAGAGUUCAAACUGCUACCAUACAAGAUGAAAUUGGGAAGGGCCAGGAAGGCAACUCUCAACAUUAUUCAUGGGGAUGAAGCAGAGCAAUACAACAUGUUGUGGGACUAUGGGCAAGAACUCAAAAGAGCUAAUCCUGGCAACAAAUUCAUAGUUUCCACUACCAAGGCUAAGGAGAAGGAUGAUGCAUUGCCAAAGGAUCACCUCUCCUCACUCUAUUGGUCAUAUGAUGCUUGCAAGAGAGCUCUCCUAAAGGGCUGCAUGCCAAUUAUAUUUGUGGAUGGCCGCCACUUGAAAAGUAGGUACAAAGGUAUAUUGUUGAUAGCUGUGGGAAUUGACCCAAUGAUUGCAUUUAUCCAAUAGCUAUGAGAAUGAUAGAGGUUGAAUCCACUUAUGGGAAUGAUUUUUGUCAACAUUGGAAAAUGAUCUGAACAUUAUCAACACAAGCCCAUACACCAUCAUGAGUGACAAGCAGAAGGGUUUGAUAAAUGUUGUUGAAAAAGUUUUCCUAGAUGCAGAGCAUAGGUUUUGUGUUAGGCACAUAUACCAAAACUUCCACAAGUUGUUCAAAGGUGAGACAUUGAAGAAUCAGUUGUGGGCCAUUGCCAGAUCCACAAACUUACCAAGAUGGAAUGAGAACAGAGAGAAAAUGAGAGGCUUGCAUUGAUGCUUACAACUAGCUAGAGGGCAAGCCAUCUAAUCAAUGGGUGAAAAAUUUCUUCAGUGAUUUUCCUAAAUGUGAUAUUCUUCUGAACAACAUGUCUGAAGUGUAUAAUAGUUACAUACUUGAAGCUAGAGAGCUCUGUAUUGUGUCAAUAUUGGAGUGCAUCCUUGCAAAGAUAUCACUGAGGCAUGCAAGCAAACGGAGAGAAGCAGUUGAGAAAUGGAAAGGAAGAAUUUGCCUAAAAAGUAGGAAGAAGUUAGAGAAAAAUGCAGAAUUUUCUGCCAAUUGUUUUCCAACAAAUGCUAGCAAUAGAAUAUUUCAUGUGCAGUCUGAGCCCAAGACAUACAUUGUUGACACCAUAGGAAGGACUUGUAAGUGCAAAAGGGAUUGCCUUGCAGUCAUGCAAUUGUAGUGUGUAGGGCUGUAAUAAUUGACCCUGAAGACCUGGUUCACAAAUGCUAUAUAUAGUAGAGUCAUAUUUGCAAGCAUAUGGAUACUUUAUCAUGCCCUUAAGAGAUAGGGCCCACUGGGAGAAGAUGGAUGGAACAUAUAUUCACCCACCAGUUUUCACAAAACAGAUGUGCAGGCCACCUAAGAAUAGGAGAAAACUCCUGAAGAGAAAAAGAAGGAUGAACAUUGUAUCUGAAUAAGAAAAGGGGUGGCUAUGCGUUGUUCAGUUCGUGGCAAAGAUGACCACAAUAGCAGGGGGCAUGAGAAAUAUAUGCAGAGGGAACAAGUGGAACAACAAGACGAGGAAGAAGAGGAUGAAUUUGCAUGUGAAGCUAUUCUGCAUGUCAUUGGCCAUUUUGCAUUGCAGACUGAACCCUAGCUUGGACCCAAUUAAUGACAGGACAAGCAUGGUUUACAAGAUGGGAUAGGAGGAGAGACCAUAUGUUACAAAUAUCAGACCACCUAGACCACUGCCAGAGGAGUCAAGCUUUGUAGCUGCAGCUUGGGAUUUGAUCCUUCAAAGGACGAGGCAAACAACUGCAACAACUGCUGGUAGAAGGGCAAGCAAAGG